GACGAACGCUGGCGGCGUGCUUAACACAUGCAAGUCGAACGGUAAGGCCCUUCGGGGUACACGAGUGGCGAACGGGUGGAGUAACAACGUGGGUGAUCUGCCUGCACUUCGGGAUAAGCCUGGGAAACUGGGUCUAAUACCGGAUAGGACCAUGGACUUCACGGUUUGUGGUGGAAAGCUUUUGCGGUGUGGGAUGGGCCCGCGGCCUAUCAGCUUGUUGGUGGGGUAAUGGCCUACCAAGGCGACGACGGGUAGCCGGCCUGAGAGGGUGUCCGGCCACACUGGGACUGAGAUACGGCCCAGACUCCUACGGGAGGCAGCAGUGGGGAAUAUUGCACAAUGGGCGCAAGCCUGAUGCAGCGACGCCGCGUGAGGGGAUGACGGCC
rnacentral:rRNA from 1 species